UCCCUGGUGGCUCAGAUGGUAAAGUGUCUGUCUAUAAUGCCGGAGACCCAGGUUCGAUCCCUGGGUUGGGAA
rfam:TPA: Bos taurus chromosome 12, whole genome shotgun sequence.